CACAUCAAGCAAAACGACCGUCGGCCUGUUCGAGAGAUCCACGUUUACUGCUCGCUGCUUGGAAGGCCAGAGUUUUUCACUGGCGACCUGGAGGUGGCGUGAAGACCACAGUUGCAGGCAGGGCUCCGAACCGUCCCCGGACACCGCAACGUCCGCCGCACACAGCAGCACCAAUUUUAGAGGUGGUCGCAGUGUUGGUGCAUACGGAACAAAGAUACGCAAUUUCUCAUAACACUGAGGAUGUCUCUGGGGGCUGCCACCGCCGAGGACGUUGCGUUUGUGCGCAAACAGCUGGGGACGACAGAGCAGAACAUACAGCAGGCUGUCUCAUCUCUACGGAACUGGCUGAAUCUGCAGCCACACUUGCCGAAGAAUAUAGAUGAUCGGCGUCUGGAGAGAUUGUUCAUCAACUGCAAAUGCAGUAUGGAACGCGUGAAAACGUCGUUGGACGCCUACUUUUCCUUAAAGAAGAAAUUUCCAGAGCUUCUGAUGAACCGAGAUCCCGAGGACGCUGACAUAAAAAAAGCCAAAGAUUUCAUCAAGACGUUCUCGACGUCGCCGCUCACUGCCGAAGGCCUGCGCGUGACGUGCACGCUGGACGUGGCGGCGGACCCCCAGUGCUACGACCCGCUGCUGUGCUACAAGCUCAUCCUCAUGUGGACCGAGGUCCUGCUCGCAGAGGACUACUCGCUCGGCGACAUCAUCAUAGUCGACCUCAAGGACUUCACCGCCUCGCACGUGCUCAAGACCAGUGUGAGUCUCGUCCGCAGCGUCGAGAUUAUAUUCAAGGAAGCCUACUGCCGGAGAAUAAAAGCUGUGCAUCUUGUGAACUCACCGAAGGUGUUAGACGCAAUUCUCAACAUAGCUAAGGCCGCUCUCUCAGAUAAGUUGAAACAGAGGGUGGUUACUCAUCUACCAGGCACGGAAACACUUUUCGACUACGUUCCGCGGGAGCUUGUGCCAGAUGAACUCGGAGGAUCCGCUGGACCUGCCGAAAAACUUUAUGAUGCCGCCUGGAAGAAAGUGUCGUCAUACCGAGCGUUCUUCCUGGAGCAGGACAACUACGUCACGGACGAGAGCCGCCGGCCGCCGGGCAGCAGGAACGUGAGCGACCUCUACGGCGUCGAGGGAUCCUUCCGGAAGCUCGCCAUCGACUAACCUAACGGGUCCGUCAACCGCCUCGAGGCCAAGCGGCGCUGCGUCAGCCGCGGAGCGCCGGGCUACAACGGGGUCACGGUCGCUCGCCGUGACUACCUACCUGCCAGCCAGCCGUACAGACUUCUUCCGCCAAGUAUUGCAACCCGUAUAUUUUGUGAACGGUUCAAGAUAUCGAAACGAUGUUUUCGGCAAAUAGCAGGCGAGAGAGGCAUGUUGUUUUUAUCGAGCGAGGUACUGAGACAAGAACGACAGGCUUUUUCGACGGCAAUCGAGAGCUUUUGAAAAGACAACUAUGGUAAUGCACUGCAUGUAAGCCUUCUAUAAACAUUUAUCCAUAAAUGAAAAUAAUGAUUUUCCUAUCUUUUCUUGUAGAAAAGCUUCCUCCUAGGGUAAAGUGUACUUGAGAUACCGUGUUCAACUGCUGAGCAAUAUCGUCUAUUGGUUGAUAUUGUGUUGCGCAUGUCGACAGUGUGGUGAAACAAAACAUUAAACGUACUGAAAUCCUGAAUUUUAAAUAUGGAAAAUUAAUCUACCUAAAUGCCGAAAGUAACUAAUUGAGUACUCAGUGAAAACUGUUGAACUGAAACUCAACGCUGAAGUACACUACGAAAGUUGUUGAUAGGAAGUGCAAUUUCUGAAUUGAAAUGACCACAAAAAUAAAAUACUGCCCCGCUCAGAAGGAAAAUAAUUGUUCGAGAUUUCCUACACUGAUCACUGUAAUUUAAUGUGAUUGAGAACCCAUUCCUCCUUAGAGCCAAAAUUUUGAUUGGCCCUGAACUAAAUGUAACUUGCUUUCUGCUCAGCAUGUUGUUUUGCGCCCAAUGUCCUGGCGCUCUCGAAAACUAAUUCAAAUCUUUAAAUUCAACAGCUAAAAAAAAUGAACUGUUCAAUACAUUUGUUUAUGCUCGUGAGAGACAAUGUGUGACUUCGUGUGGUUCAAAUGAGCCAUUUUUUUUAGUGUGGUAGUAUUUUACUGUGUGUCUUCCAAUACCGACUCUAGAAUAUGCUCAUUUAGCAACGAUGAGCUGCUGUGGCACAGAAGUCAAACGGAAGUAACAUGGAUUCGUGAAUGUGCUUAUGGAGAGAGUUAUCUUCAAAUGUGGUACAUGUUGGUAGCAAGUAAUGUGAUAUCAUUUUAAGGCUCUUGUAAUACAAUGCGAUCAGUAAAAGAUAAACGACGACAUUCAAAACAUUUAGUAAACAUUUGUCAUUGUGUUUCAUGUUGCAACAACAUUAAUAGUAAGAUAUUUAGGGGAAUUUUUAUACCGUAGUCAGGAUGGGAAAAAUGGCCAUUGCUUACUUUCUCCUCUGGCUACUGCCCGCUGAGAAGUGGUCGCAGUAGUUCUAAUGUACAUUACCGUUGUCGUCAGUGGGACUGAAUGGAAGUUCGUUUCGUUAUUUUUAAUAGUAUUUUAUUUUUGUCGUUUUCGAGUGGUCUGAUGUCAGUGUAAGUCAUCUAUAACACUAUUUUUACCUGACUUGUACACAGAGUAAUAUUGUUUUACAAUACCAGUGUUUAAACGUCUUUUGGUCUACAAA